rnacentral:rRNA from 1 species
GAUGAACGCUGGCGGCGUGCCUAAUACAUGCAAGUCGAGCGAACAGACGAGGAGCUUGCUCCUCUGAUGUUAGCGGCGGACGGGUGAGUAACACGUGGAUAACCUACCUAUAAGACUGGGAUAACUUCGGGAAACCGGAGCUAAUACCGGAUAACAUGUUGAACCGCAUGGUUCAACAGUGAAAGACGGUCUUGCUGUCACUUAUAGAUGGAUCCGCGCCGCAUUAGCUAGUUGGUAAGGUAACGGCUUACCAAGGCAACGAUGCGUAGCCGACCUGAGAGGGUGAUCGGCCACACUGGAACUGAGACACGGUCCAGACUCCUACGGGAGGCAGCAGUAGGGAAUCUUCCGCAAUGGGCGAAAGCCUGGCGGAGCAACGCCGCGUGAGUGAAGAAGGUCUUCGGACCGUAAAACUCUGUUAUUAGGGAAGAACAAGUGUGUAAGUAACUAUGCACGUCUUGACGGUACCUAAUCAGAAAGCCACGGCUAACUACGUG